rnacentral:sRNA from 1 species
UUGUGUAAGCUUGCAGAGAAGUACAUGUUGGUUAGGAUUUGAUUAGACUUGCUAGGCAUGUGGAUUCAGUUUGGAUGAUCAUGGCAAUAAACUAGAGAAUGUUGGGAGUUCCUUUGUUUCAAAAUCUCUUCCACGGGUUCGGCUUUUGUGUUUUGCUUGAAGGCAAGCAAAAGCUAAGUCUGGGGGAGUUGAUAUAUCCCUACUUUACUGAUUUUACCUAUGUUUUAGGUAUAGGAUUUUGGGUCUUUAUGUUAUUUCUCGAGUCUUUUUAGUGUCUUUUCAGGUAUUCUAUGUAGUGGGACAACAAUGGAGAUGAAGAGACAUUUUCGAGCAAAAGCUAAGGUAAAGGAAGCAAAGGACGAUUUCAGUUCCAGAUUCAGCGAGAGUGUCGAUCGAUACACUCCUGGUGUCGAUCGAUCGACACCUGUUUCGGCCCAGCAAAGUCCAUUACGCUUUCAAGUUUACAGAAGAGGAAAUUUGCCCCAUAAGACUUCCCUAUUUGCAUUAUUAGUCCAUGGACGUUUUAUAGGGCUUAUAUAUAGUUUUAGAGCUCAUUAUUUAGACCUAAGUUCCUUUUAUCAAGUUCUUUGCAAAUCCCUAUUUUCAGAGACUGAAGCUAUUCAUCCCUUGUUCUUGAGAGAUUCAUUUAGUUUUCAAUACAGUGAAGAGAUCCUUAUCUUAUUUGCUGUGUUUAUACUUUCUUAUUCAAUUAUGUUGCUUGUUUUAUUUAAUAUGUCUGAGUAGUUUCCUUGUUAGGAAGAGGGUUUCUCAUUAGGGAUUCAUAUGGUUUAGUAGAUCACCCCCUUAGCUAGGUUAUCAGAAUUCUUCAUCUUUGAUUAUAUUUUAUGCUAGAUCU